GACGAACGCUGGCGGCGUGCUUAACACAUGCAAGUCGAACGGAAAGGCCCUGCUUUUGUGGGGUGCUCGAGUGGCGAACGGGUGAGUAACACGUGAGUAACCUGCCCCUGACUUUGGGAUAACUUCAGGAAACUGGGGCUAAUACCGGAUAGGAGCUCCUGCUGCAUGGUGGGGGUUGGAAAGUUUCGGCGGUUGGGGAUGGACUCGCGGCUUAUCAGCUUGUUGGUGGGGUAGUGGCUUACCAAGGCUUUGACGGGUAGCCGGCCUGAGAGGGUGACCGGCCACAAUGGGACUGAGAUACGGCCCAGACUGCUACGGGAGGCAGCAGUGGGGAAUAUUGCACAAUGGGCGGAAGCCUGAUGCAGCAACGCCGCGUGCGGGAUGACGGCCUUCGGGUUGUAAACCGCUUUGGCCUGUGACGAAGCGUGAGUGACGGUAAUGGGUAAAGAAGCACCGGCUAACUACGUG
rnacentral:rRNA from 1 species